GAAAUGCGAUACGCAAUGCGAAUUGCAGAACCGUGAGUCAUCAGAUUUUUGAACGCAAGUGGCGAUGGUUUCGGCCAUCAUGUUUGUUUCAGUGUGUUCGGUUAAUUGCAUCAUAGAAUUUAAUGUGACUGAAGCAAUUCUUUCACUUAAUAUGAAGUAAUGUCAGCUUAUGGAUAUUAGACGAACUAGUCACUAAUUUGGUGAUAAUCGUUUAAGUGUUCUAGGUUGUAAAUCAUUGCUUGAUAACAAUUUAUCCAAUCAUAGCACCUGAAAUUAGCAAGAUUACCCGCUGAACUUAA
rnacentral:misc_RNA from 1 species